rnacentral:rRNA from 1 species
AAUCAACGCUGGCGGCGUGCCUCAGACAUGCAAGUCGAACGCGAAAGUUUCCUUCGGGAAACCGGUAGAGUGGCGCACGGGUGAGUAACACGUAGGUUAUCUACCUCCGAGUGGGGAAUAACAUCGGGAAACCGAUGCUAAUACCGCAUAACACCGAAAGGUCAAAGCUUUAUGUGCUUGGAGAGGAGCCUGCGGCAGAUUAGCUAGUUGGUAAGGUAAUGGCUUACCAACGCGACGAUCUGUAUCCGGUCUAAGAGGACGGUCGGACACACUGACACUGAAUAACGGGUCAGACUCCUACGGGAGGCAGCAGUCGGGAAUUUUGGGCAAUGGGCGCAAGCCUGACCCAGCAACGCCGCGUGAAGGAUGAAGUAUUUCGGUAUGUAAACUU